AUGCAGUCGAGGGGUACAGAGAGAAGCUUGCUUCUUUGCUGACGACCGGCGCACGGGUGCGUAACGCGUAUACAAUCUACCUUUUGCUGAGGGAUAGCCCAGAGAAAUUUGGAUUAAUACCUCAUAGUAUAUAUGAAUCACAUGGUUUAUAUAUUAAAGGUUACGGCAGAAGAUGAGUAUGCGUUCUAUUAGCUAGAUGGUGUGGUAACGGCACACCAUGGCAACGAUAGAUAGGGGCCCUGAGAGGGGGAUCCCCCACACUGGUACUGAGACACGGACCAGACUCCUACGGGAGGCAGCAGUGAGGAAUAUUGGACAAUGGGCGAGAGCCUGAUCCAGCCAUGCCGCGUGCAGGAAGACUGCCCUAUGGGUUGUAAACUGCUUUUAUACAGGAAGAAACACUCCCUCGUGAGGGAGCUUGACGGUACUGUAAGAAUAAGGAUCGGCUAACUCCGUGCCAGCAGCCGCGGUAAUACG
rnacentral:rRNA from 1 species